CCUACGGGAGGCAGCAGUAAGGAAUAUUGGUCAAUGGAGGCAACUCUGAACCAGCCAUGCCGCGUGCAGGAAGACAGCCCUCUGGGUCGUAAACUGCUUUUAUUCGGGAAUAAACCUUAUUACGUGUAAUAAGCUGAAUGUACCGAAGGAAUAAGGAUCGGCUAACUCCGUGCCAGCAGCCGCGGUAAUACGGAGGAUCCAAGCGUUAUCCGGAUUUAUUGGGUUUAAAGGGUGCGUAGGCGGCUUAUUAAGUCAGGGGUGAAAGACGGUGGCUCAACCAUCGCAGUGCCUUUGAUACUGAUGAGCUUGAAUGAACUAGAGGUAGGCGGAAUGUGACAAGUAGCGGUGAAAUGCAUAGAUAUGUCACAGAACACCGAUUGCGAAGGCAGCUUACUAUGGUUUUAUUGACGCUGAGGCACGAAAGCGUGGGGAUCAAACAGGAUUAGAUACCCUGGUAGUCCACGCCCUAAACGAUGAAUACUCGCUGUUAGUCGAUAUACUAGUAGCGGCGUAAGACGAAAGACGUAAGUUAAGUUACCUACCGUACGGGAGGUAACGGUCCGCCGAAGGGUUAGGUAAACGUUAAAAGGUUAAAGUUAAGUUACGGCGUUGAGACGAGCCGAACGGACGACGACGAGGGGAAGGAGGGAG
rnacentral:rRNA from 1 species